AAACUUACCUGGCAGGGAGUAUACUAUGAUCAAGAAGGUUUUUUUCCCCAAAGUGAGGCUCUUCCAUUGCACUUUGUUUGGGUUGACACCUCUGAUUUCACCAAAUGUAGGAAACUCAUCUGCAUAAUGUAUUUUAGUGGGGGGACUACAUUCACACU